CUAAUCCUAUCAGGCAUUCCCGGCUUCGUUCGGCUCAGCAUUGCUACGAGCAACAAUUAGGGUUGGCACAACUUGGCGUUCCUCUGCGUGCACAACUACAGAUAAGAUAAUGACUUGAAUUUUAAAAACGCUAAAUAGUCGAAAGUGAUAGUGCCAUACUUUAGAUCGGGACAGCAUGAUUCGUCCCUGAAUCGCUGUCGAACUUCGGUUUUGUAGGAAGUUUUCUUUCUGUACGGAAGUACUUAAUUUAUUCUUUGAUCGCGGCAGGAAGAGUGACCUUCCAUCGUCACCGAAGCGUAAAGUCGUUGACAUUCUACAUAGUACGUUCUGUUACAGUUACAGAUAUUAUACCUACCUAUAUAGCCUCCACCAUCUUGUACUGUUACUACACGU